rnacentral:rRNA from 1 species
UACGUAGGGUGCGAGCGUUGUCCGGAAUUACUGGGCGUAAAGAGCUCGUAGGUGGUUUGUCGCGUUGUUCGUGAAAUCUCACGGCUUAACUGUGAGCGUGCGGGCGAUACGGGCAGACUGGAGUACUGCAGGGGAGACUGGAAUUCCUGGUGUAGCGGUGGAAUGCGCAGAUAUCAGGAGGAACACCGGUGGCGAAGGCGGGUCUCUGGGCCGUUACUGACGCUGAGGAGCGAAAGCGUGGGGAGCGAACAGG